GGUGCCAUGGCUUAGGUGGUUAAAGCACCUGUUUAGUAAACAGGAGAUCCUUGGUUCAAGUCCCAGUGGGACCU